CGAAUGUCGUAAGACAUGGCGAACGGGUGAGUAAUGCACUACUAUCUGCCCUCAAGUCGGGGAUACCCCGUCGAAAGACGGAAUAAUACCUGAUGGUCCUUCCGAGGUAAAGAUUUAUCGCUUGAGGAGGAAGUAGUGUCCUAUCAGCUUGUUGGUGGGGUAACGGCCUACCAAGGCAACGACGGGUAGCUGGUCUAAGAGGACGGUCAGCCACAAUGGGACUGAGACACGGCCCAU
rnacentral:rRNA from 1 species